rnacentral:rRNA from 1 species
AGAGUUUGAUCCUGGCUCAGGACGAACGCUGGCGGCGCGCCUAACACAUGCAAGUCGAACGAGAGAGGAAGAGCUUGCUUUUCUGAUCGAGUGGCGAACGGGUGAGUAACGCGUGAGGAACCUGCCUCAAAGAGGGGGACAACAGUUGGAAACGACUGCUAAUACCGCAUAAGCCCACGGCUCGGCAUCGAGCAGAGGGAAAAGGAGCAAUCCGCUUUGAGAUGGCCUCGCGUCCGAUUAGCUAGUUGGUGAGGUAACGGCCCACCAAGGCGACGAUCGGUAGCCGGACUGAGAGGUUGAACGGCCACAUUGGGACUGAGACACGGCCCAGACUCCUACGGGAGGCAGCAGUGGGGAAUAUUGCACAAUGGGGGAAACCCUGAUGCAGCGACGCCGCGUGGAGGAAGAAGGUCUUCGGAUUGUAAACUCCUGUUGUUGAGGAAGAUAAUGACGGUACUCAACAAGGAAGUGACGGCUAACUACGUGCCAGCAGCCGCGGUAAAACGUAGGUCACAAGCGUUGUCCGGAAUUACUGGGUGUAAAGGGAGCGCAGGCGGGAAGACAAGUUGGAAGUGAAAUCCAUGGGCUCAACCCAUGAACUGCUUUCAAAACUGUUUUUCUUGAGUAGUGCAGAGGUAGGCGGAAUUCCCGGUGUAGCGGUGGAAUGCGUAGAUAUCGGGAGGAACACCAGUGGCGAAGGCGGCCUACUGGGCACCAACUGACGCUGAGGCUCGAAAGUGUGGGUAGCAAACAGGAUUAGAUACCCUGGUAGUCCACACCGUAAACGAUGAUUACUAGGUGUUGGAGGAUUGACCCCUUCAGUGCCGCAGUUAACACAAUAAGUAAUCCACCUGGGGAGUACGACCGCAAGGUUGAAACUCAAAGGAAUUGACGGGGGCC